rnacentral:rRNA from 1 species
GUAAUUCUAGAGCUAAUACAUGCUAAAAACCCCGACUCCRGGAGGGGUGUAUUAUUAGAUAAAAAACCAAUGCCCUUCGGGGCUCCUUGGUGAUUCAUGAUAACUUAACGGAUCGCAUGGCCUUGCGCCGGCGACGGUUCAUUCAAAUUUCUGCCCUAUCAACUUUCGAUGGUAAGGUAUUGGCUUACCAUGGUUUUAACGGGUAACGGGAGAUUAGGGUUUGACUCCGGAGAGGGAGCCUGAGAAACGGCUACCACAUCCAAGGAAGGCAGCAGGCGCGCAAAUUACCCAAUCCCGACACGGGGAGGUAGUGACAAUAAAUACUGAUACAGGGCUCUUUCGGGUCUUGUAAUUGGAAUGAGUACAAUUUAAACCCCUUAACGAGGAACAAUUGGAGGGCAAGUCUGGUGCCAGCAGCCGCGGUAAUUCCAGCUCCAAUAGCGUAUAUUAAAGUUGUKGCAGUUAAAAAGCUCGUAGUUGAACCUUGGGCCUGGCUGGCCGGUCCGCCUCACCGCGUGCACUGGUUCGGCCGGGCCUUUCCUUCUGGAGAACCGCAUGCCCUUCACUGGGUGUGCCGGGGAACCAGGACUUUUACUUUGAAAAAAUUAGAGUGUUCAAAGCAGGCCUUUGCUCGAAUACGUUAGCAUGGAAUAAUAGAAUAGGACGUGCGGUCCUAUUUUGUUGGUUUCUAGGACCGCCGUAAUGAUUAAUAGGGAUAGUCGGGGGCAUCCGUAUUCAAUUGUCAGAGGUGAAAUUCUUGGAUUUAUUGAAGACGAACUACUGCGAAAGCAUUUGCCAAGGAUGUUUUCAUUAAUCAGUGAACGAAAGUUAGGGGAUCGAAGACGAUCAGAUACCGUCGUAGUCUUAACCGUAAACUAUGCCGACUAGGGAUCGGGCGAUGUUACUAUUUUGACUCGCUCGGCACCUUACGAGAAAUCAAAGUU